CCUACGGGUGGCAGCAGUGAGGAAUAUUGGUCAAUGGCCGGAAGGCUGAACCAGCCAAGUCGCGUGAGGGAGGAAGGCGCUGAGCGUUGUAGACUUCUUUUGUCGGGGGACAAAAGGCCGGACUCGUCCGGUUCUGAGGGUACCCGGAGAAAAAGCAUCGGCUAACUCCGUGCCAGCAGCCGCGGUAAUACGGAGGAUGCGAGCGUUAUCCGGAUUUAUUGGGUUUAAAGGGUGCGCGGGCGGGCUUUUAAGCCGGCGGUGAAAUCGCGGGGCUCAACCCCGCCGGGCCGUCGGAACUGGGGGCCUUGAGUGCGGCGGAGGCAUGCGGAAUGCGCGGUGUAGCGGUGAAAUGCAUAGAUAUCACGCAGAACCCCGAUUGCGAAGGCAGCAUACCGUGCCGCCACUGACGCUGAGGCACGAAAGCGCGGGGAUCGAACAGGAUUAGAUACCCGGGUAGUC
rnacentral:rRNA from 1 species